rnacentral:sRNA from 1 species
UAUAGUAUAUAGUAAAAACACUACAAUGUUUGAAUGAUAUAUGAAAAUAGUAUAGUACAUCAUAUUAUUCCUUUACAUCUUAAAUAGUACAAAAUAUUUUUACUUACAAACACUAUUUACUAUUUUAUAAAUUCAAGUCCGAUUUUAAAAAUUCAAAUCAUGUUGUAUGUUGAAGAAAACAUACAUUUUUGUGUAAUAAAUUUCAGAAUUGGAAUCUACUUUUUUGGAGAAGAUAUAUAGCAAAACAAAAUACAAGGAUCUUUUGCAAAAGUAACCAUUUUGAAAAAAGUAACUAAAUUUCUAACACCAGAAUUUUAUAAACUAAGUAAAUAACAUGAAUGAUAUUUAAAAAGUCUAUUUUGUCCUUCUCAUUUGUUGCAGCUGUAGGAUGUACACGCGUGGAAGACACACAUAAUGAAAGAAUAAAGAAGACAUAUAUAAGGAAAAAUACUUGGGUUCACCCCUAGGGAUGAACCCUUAUAUUCACCUCUUUUAUUUUAGCCAAUUAAAAUCUGACACCUAAUAAUAAUAAAAGA